rnacentral:rRNA from 1 species
GCUGAACGCUGGCGGCGUGCCUAAUACAUGCAAGCCGAGCGAAGCGGGGACGGGUGAUUAACACGUUGCUAACCUCCUAUACGCCUGGGAUAACUUCGGGAAACCGGAGCUAACCCGGAUACUUAUAGAUGGAUGCGCGCUGCAUUAGCUAGUUGGUAAGGUACCGGCUUACCAAGGCAACGAUGCAUAGCCGACCUUAGAGGGGGAUCUGCCAAACUGAAACUAAGAAGCGGUCCAGAAUCCGACGGGAGGCAGCAUGAGGGAAUCGGCCGCAAGGGGCGAAAGCCUGACGGAGCAACUCCUGGUGAGUGAUGUAGGUCUUCGGAUCGUAAAACUCUGUUAUUAGAGAAGCGGUACCUAUUCAGAGGGCCAGGGCUAGCUAGGUGCCAGCAGCCGCGGUAAUAC